AGAGUUUGAUCCUGGCUUAGGAUGAACGCUAGCUACAGGCUAACACAUGCAAGUCGAGGGGCAGCAUUGUCGAAGCUUGCUUUGACAGAUGGCGACCGGCGCACGGGUGAGUAACGCGUAUCCAACCUUCCCCAUAGUAGGGCAUAGCCCGUAGAAAUGCGGAUUAAUACCCUAUGUUUUCCGAAGCAGACAUCUAAUUUGGAACAAAGGUUCACCGCUAUGGGAUGGGGAUGCGUCUGAUUAGGUUGUUGGCGGGGUAACGGCCCACCAAGCCAUCGAUCAGUAGGGUUCUGAGAGGAAGGUCCCCCACAUUGGAACUGAGACACGGUCCAAACUCCUACGGGAGGCAGCAGUGAGGAAUAUUGGUCAAUGGGCGAGAGCCUGAACCAGCCAAGUAGCGUGCAGGAAGACGGCCCUAUGGGUUGUAAACUGCUUUUAUGCGGGGAUAAAGUGGGCUACGUGUAGUCCUUUGCAGGUACCGCAUGAAUAAGGACCGGCUAAUUCCGUGCCAGCAGCCGC
rnacentral:rRNA from 1 species